AGGCACACGCAUAUAAAAAUCUAUCUCUCUCCUCCGGUACAAGAGCAGAGCCCUUGGCUGGCGUCUCACCCGAUCACACACAGUCACAGCAGCUGAGCAGCCCCGCUCUCCAGUCUCCACACCUCCUGCGGCCGGCCCGACGGCCCCCCGACACCGAACAUGAAGAGGGAGAGACGUCACGGCAUGAGCGCACGGCUACCGACCAUGCUGCUGGCAAUGCUUCUGCUGCUGGCGACCGAGCUCGCCUCCUUCGGCUGCUGCGGCCACGGGAUUCCCAGAGCGGACGUGGCGGCGUGGAGGCAUAGACGGGUGGCCGUGCCGGCGGCGGCGGCGGCGGCGGCGGCGGCGGCGACGACGACGGCAGGCGCGCGCGCUACUACGUCGCCCUCCCCCACGGCAGCCCGGGACGACGCCGAGGCGGCGCUCGGCGAGUCCAAGAGGCUGGUGCCGCAGGGCUCCAACCCGCUGCACAACUAGGAGCGUGAGCGUGAGAGCGAGGAAGCAAAGCAGGCGCGUGCAGGUUCUUCGUUCGGCUAGCUUUCAUGUAUUUUUUUUUACUCCCUCGCUAGGUCACACACAGGCACACGGCCAUUGAUGUGCGCCUGUAACUGUAAUUAGCUAGCGACGCAACACACGGCAGCAGUAGGGCUAGCUAUGGAGUCUGGAUCCAAUCCAGCAACACACGACAAGAGUGUACAGUACAUGCAUGCAUGCAUGCAUGCAUGCAUGAUUCUUUUGCCAUGCAUGGUCUUUCCGAUCAAGGAUUUGAUUCAUCAGUAGAUAGCGAGCAACGAAUUGAGAGUUGG
rnacentral:misc_RNA from 1 species